rnacentral:rRNA from 1 species
UACGUAGGGGGCAAGCGUUGUCUGGAAUCAUUGGGCGUAAAGAGCGUGUAGGCGGCCAGAUAAGUCCGCUGUGAAAACUCGAGGCUCAACCUCGAGCUGUCGAUGGAAACCAUCUGGCUAGAGUCCGGAAGAGGAGAGUGGAAUUCCUGGUGUAGCGGUGAAAUGCGCAGAUAUCAGGAAGAACACCCGUGGCGAAGGCGGCUCUCUGGUACGUGACUGACGCUGAGACGCGAAAGCGUGGGGAGCGAACAGG